CGGGAUCGGAACAGUUCGAUCAGGAACCGUUUUCGUUAUCGUCACUCCUUUAUUUUCGUGUCCCGCGUUGAGUUUCAAACGGGCACCCCCUCCCCGAAGGACCCCGCAGCCACCGCGCGCUUCAGCGGCGCUCCCGGAGCUGCGUAUCUCAAGCCGGGCCAGCAAUAAAGGUGUCCUUUUUAUCUUACAUCUUUCCUUCUGUUUUUCUUGGGUUCUUUUUUUUUUUUUUCUUGCUUCUUUUCUUGCCUUUUUCCCUCUUUCCGCACUACGAUCCCAGCCCCAUAAACCACCGCACUCUGUCAGAAACACACCGCGCUCCCGCAUCGCUCUCCUGCGCUCCCCGACUCCGCACUCAGCAGCGUUAUCCCCAUAGUUUCCCCUCUCGGCCCCAGCGGAGCAUUCCGUCCCACACUGUCCCGUUCGGAGGUGCUUCAGGCUACCGAGAUCUCUUCUAACGGGUCCGGUUUCGGCGGCGGGCGGAGGUAGGGCUGUAUUUUGAGAGCUCCUCCGAAACGCUGGAGUUUUUGCUCGACUGACGGUGUGCUGCUCUCAGCGCUUUUGGGUUUCUCGGCGAAAGUCGCGGCCGAAAGCAGACUAACGGGGCGGCGGAGUUCGGAGAGGAUCGUUUCCCUCCGUUGCCAUCCGCGGGGUGCGGGAGUGUCCCGCUUCCACGGGAGGGACAGAAAGACGACAGCAAAAGGGGAAAGCGGGGAUCGCGUCUCCCAAAGAGGCCGCUUUCCUCGGGUUUCCCUGACCCCAAAGCCGGCCCAGGGCUGACCCCCCCGGUCGGCGGUCAAAAGCAUUCCCCAGCGCCGCAGUUCUCCCUUUAAACUCUGUUCCUCGACGUGGGGAGACGGCGGCUCGUGGUGACUCUGUGGAGAUGGGCCGGGGCUGCUCCGUGCCGUCGGGGUGUCCCGGUCUUCGGGGAAGCAAACGCGAAGCGGGCCCGGGUCUCGGCCGCGCUGGGACAGCCGCGAGUGGGUGGCCCGGGGGGGGGGCGACAGCCUG
rnacentral:lncRNA from 1 species